CAACACAAACUUGAAACUGACAAUGACUGUAACAUUAUUUGACCAAUUCCUUAGCCCAACCUUGUUUAAGAUGCCAUUAAUUGCUAUCGCAUUAGUAUCCCCAUGAUUACUUCACCAUGUAGUAACAACACGAUUUUCUUCAGAACGUUUAUUAAGUGUUAAAAAAGUUUCUGUUUCUGCCUUAACUAAACACAUUUUUCAACCCUUAGGUCCUUUAGGACAUAAGUGAGCCCUUAUAUUCGUAUCCUUAUUUAUAUUCUUAAUUACUCUAAACGUAUUAGGACUUCUUCCCUAUACAUUUACACCUACUACACAGCUUUCUCUUACAUUCUCACUUGCUCUCCCCUUAUGAUUAGCAACCGUACUAAUCGGCUUUCGACUUGAUCCAACACGAGCCCUCGCUCAUAUACUACCCCAAGGAACUCCUCCCUUAUUAAUUCCUGUCCUAAUUAUUAUUGAAACAAUUAGUGUAAUAAUUCGUCCGUUAGCUUUAGCUGUUCGGCUUAUAGCUAAUCUGACCGCAGGUCAUCUCCUUAUUCAUUUAAUUUCCACGGGAGUUUUCUUAUUAACUUCUAUAAUACCUAUAGCAGCUAUUCUAGCAUUAGCACUUUUAGGACUUCUAACACUUCUAGAAAUUGCAGUAGCCGUAAUUCAAGCUUAUGUAUUUGUACUUCUACUAAGCCUUUAUUUACUAGAGAACGUCUAAUGGCCCAUCAAGCACAUGCCUAUCAUAUAGUAGACCCGAGCCCAUGACCCCUAACCGGGGCAGUCGCCGCCCUUUUAAUAACAUCUGGUUUAGCAAUUUGAAUACACUUCCACUCUACUACUCUAAUAACACUUGGUUUAAUUUUACUUUUAUUAACCAUGUAUCAAUGAUGACGAGAUAUUAUUCGAGAAGGUACCUUCCAAGGACACCACACCCCACCUGUCCAAAAAGGGCUUCGGUACGGAAUAAUUUUAUUUAUUACCUCAGAAGUCUUCUUUUUCCUUGGAUUUUUUUGAGCGUUCUAUCAUUCAAGCCUUGCCCCUACCCCUGAGCUAGGCGGAUGCUGACCCCCUACAGGAAUUACUACACUAGAUCCUUUUGAAGUACCUCUUUUAAAUACAGCCGUUCUCCUAGCUUCAGGCGUCACAGUUACAUGAGCGCAUCACAGCAUUAUAGAAGGCAACCGAAAACAAGCUAUUCAAUCUCUCACCCUUACUAUUCUUCUAGGAUUUUACUUUACUAUUCUUCAAGCAUUAGAAUACUAUGAAGCACCAUUCACAAUUGCUGACGGAGUUUAUGGCUCAACCUUCUUUGUCGCAACAGGUUUCCAUGGCCUUCACGUAAUUAUUGGAUCCUCCUUCCUUGCUGUAUGCCUGCUCCGACAAGUCCAACAUCACUUUACAUCGCAACAUCACUUUGGCUUCGAAGCAGCUGCUUGAUAUUGACAUUUCGUUGAUGUAGUUUGACUAUUCCUAUACAUCUCAAUUUACUGAUGAGGCUCAUA